AGUGGGGAAUAUUGGACAAUGGGCGCAAGCCUGAUCCAGCCAUGCCGCGUGGGUGAUGAAGGCCUUCGGGUUGUAAAGCCCUUUUGGCGGGGACGAUGAUGACGGUACCCGCAGAAUAAGCCCCGGCUAACUUCGUGCCAGCAGCCGCGGUAAGACGAAGGGGGCAAGCGUUGUUCGGAAUUACUGGGCGUAAAGGGCGCGUAGGCGGCCCGAUCAGUCAGCCGUGAAAGGCCUGGGCUCAACCUGGGAACUGCGGUUGAUACUGUUGGGCUUGAGAGCGGGAGAGGAUGGUGGAAUUCCCAGUGUAGAGGUGAAAUUCGUAGAUAUUGGGAAGAACACCGGUGGCGAAGGCGGCCAUCUGGACCGUAUCUGACGCUGAGGCGCGAAAGCGUGGGGAGCAAA
rnacentral:rRNA from 1 species